UGGGUGAUUCCCCUCUAAUCAGGGCCUGAUUUAGACCUGGGACACCAGGUGGGUGAUUCCCCUCUAAUCAGGGACUGAUUUAGACCUGGGAUACCAGGUGGGUGAUUCCCCUCUAAUCAGGGCCUGAUUUAGACCUGGGACACCAGGUGGGUGAUUCCCCUCUAAUCAGGGACUGAUUUAGACCUGGGAUACCAGGUGGGUGAUUCCCCUCUAAUCAGGGCCUGAUUUAGACCUGGGACACCAGGUGGGUGAUUCCCCUCUAAUCAGGGCCUGAUUUAGACCUGGGACACCAGGUGGGUGAUUCCCCUCUAAUCAGGGCCUGAUUUAGACCUGGGCCACCAGGUGGGUGAUUCCCCUCUAAUCAGGGACUGAUUU